rnacentral:rRNA from 1 species
UACGUAGGGGCCGAGCGUUGUCCGGAGUUACUGGGCGUAAAGCGCGCGCAGGCGGCCGCCCGCGCCCGCCGUGAAAGCCCCCGGCUCAACCGGGGAGGGUCGGCGGGGACGGGGCGGCUUGAGGACGGCAGGGGCCGGUGGAAUCCCCGGUGUAGUGGUGAAAUGCGUAGAGAUCGGGGGGAACACCCGUGGCGAAGGCGGCCGGCUGGGCCGUUCCUGACGCUGAGGCGCGAAGGCGUGGGGAGCGAACGGG